rnacentral:rRNA from 1 species
CCUACGGGUGGCAGCAGUAGGGAAUCUUCCGCAAUGGACGAAAGUCUGACGGAGCAACGCCGCGUGUGUGAAGAAGGUCUUCGGAUCGUAAAGCACUGUUGCCAGGGAAGAAAAGCCUUUAGAGGGAAUGCUAGAGGAUUGACGGUACCUGAGAAGAAAGCCCCGGCUAACUACGUGCCAGCAGCCGCGGUAAUACGUAGGGGGCAAGCGUUGUCCGGAAUUAUUGGGCGUAAAGCGCGCGCAGGCGGUUUGUUAAGUCUGGUGUGAAAGGCAAUGGCUCAACCAUUGUAAGCAUUGGAAACUGACAGACUGGAGUGCAGCAGAGGAAAGUGGAAUUCCACGUGUAGCGGUGAAAUGCGUAGAGAUGUGGAGGAACACCAGUGGCGAAGGCGACUUUCUGGGCUGUAACUGACGCUGAGGCGCGAAAGCGUGGGGAGCAAACAGGAUUAGAUACCCCAGUAGUC